AGAGUUGAUCAUGGCUCAGGAUGAACGCUAGCUACAGGCUUAACACAUGCAAGUCGAGGGGCAUCAGUUUGGUUUGCUUGCAAACCAAAGCUGGCGACCGGCGCACGGGUGAGUAACACGUAUCCAACCUGCCUCAUACUCGGGGAUAGCCUUUCGAAAGAAAGAUUAAUAUCCGAUAGCAUAUAUUUCCCGCAUGGGUUUUAUAUUAAAGAAAUUCGGUAUGAGAUGGGGAUGCGUUCCAUUAGUUUGUUGGCGGGGUAACGGCCCACCAAGACUACGAUGGAUAGGGGUUCUGAGAGGAAGGUCCCCCACAUUGGAACUGAGACACGGUCCAAACUCCUACGGGAGGCAGCA
rnacentral:rRNA from 1 species